AGCAUACCGGAUGGGUAAGGGUAAAAAACCUGAAGAGAGAGAGAAGGAGAGAGAGGAAUGGAAGGAGCGGGCGGUUAUCCUUCUGCAUCUCCGACACCUCCGCUGCUGCACCCCGCCAUUGCUCCUCUCUUCUUUCUGUUGGGGAAAUGGCGAGGUCAGGGAGAAGGCGGGUUUCCCACUAUUAACUCUUUCGCCUACGCAGAAGAAUUGCUCUUCUCCCACUCCGGCAAGCCCGUGAUAGCGUAUAACCAGAAAACUUGGAAGUUAGCUUCUGGAGAGCCGAUGCAUGCCGAGAGCGGAUACUGGCGGCCGAAGGCGGAUGGUUCCAUCGAAGUCGUCAUUGCCCAAAGCACCGGUCUUGUCGAGGUCCAGAAGGGUUCAUACGAUGCUGAAAACAAGAUUAUCAUGCUGCAAAGUGAGCUUGUUGGAAAUGCAUCAAAGGUGAAGGAAAUAACCCGAGCCUUCAAGGUAGUGAAUGACGAGCUAUCAUAUGUUGUUCAGAUGGCAACAAACAUUACCAGUCUUCAGCCUCAUCUUAAAGCUUUGCUCCGGAAGGUUUGAAAUAUUUAUCCAUAUUUAAACUUGAUACACGGGGUGCAAAAAUGAGUCAUGCAACAAGCAUUACUAUUGCUGUAAUUCAAAGUUUUCAUUUCCUGGACAUAUAUGUCACUGGAUUCUUCAAUCCAUUGGAGUUAAGUGCCGUAACCAUAAGACUAAUUUAAAAUCUGAGCAUUGGGAUAGUCGUCCUAUCGAGGAGUCUAUUCCAGCUGGUGUUGAUGCAGCACAGUGGUGUGUCAGCUAGUCACCAAGUUGUCGCAACAAAAAGACAAGGUUAGUACCAUCAUCAUAUUUAAUUAUAUAUAGUUUACAAAUCAACAUGGAGUUAGAUUCAUAUGUAACAGAAGACAGUCUCCAUAAAUGCUACAAAUGCAAAUAAACAGACUUGUCCUCACACUAUAGGGCGUGUGAGUUCUAUUCUCAAGCAACAAUAGAUGGCUAUCAAGGAUAGAUUACUAUUACGGAGAAUGAACAUAUUACACAAAAAUGACACCUGGUCAUCUGAAGAUGCUAAACAGAGAUGGAUAUAAGCUUGCGAUCUUUUGGCUGAGGAUGGCUGACACCAAAGGAUGGGAAUGUGGUGGCUAACAAAAUGGUGUUCAGUAUAGUUAUGGGACAUGAAUACUCAGGCAGAGUCAGAACCCAAUGGUUCGGCGUCACUCAUACACGAUAUUUUUCUCAUAGCAUAAGCGGGGGCAGGAGUAGUGAUGGAAGCAGUUUAAGUCAAAUAGUAAAUCUAAGAGCGGAGGUCAACUCAUUAUGUACUGAAAUGAGGGAAUUCAUGCAACAAUUUCAAAUGCAGCAUCCACCUGAAGGAAGCUCACAAAUGUUAUGUAAAAUUUCACAUUCUAAUUUUAAUGUUGGUCAUUUGAAUA